rnacentral:lncRNA from 1 species
GCUUGUCUCAGGGAUAAACUUGGCUCUAUGUUGUAUGCUUAUGACGUUAUUGAUGGCCCUCUGGCCCCCAAAUUAAAUUAUCAAUGGAAAAUUCUCUGUCAUUUGUUUCUCAAUGUCACAUGAAUGCAAAAGUCUUUUUCUGUGCAGAUUCAUGGAGAAGACAUUCUCGGUGUGCAUUGAACUUUGCCUUUUCUGAAAGAGGUGCUAAACUACUGCUCCUUUCCAUCUUUAGGAGUACAUUCACAAACGACAGUCUGCUUUAAGGACACUGGAGUGUAGAAUUAUACUGGGCUGCUUCUUCUACGAUCUUCUUUAUCUUUUGGGUCAGCAACAUCACUAAUUGGCACUUGACAGCACACUUCCAGAUACUCCUUGUGAAUCUCAUAGUGUGACUGAUGGUUGAUAAAGAGAAGAAUUCGCGGAUCCAUUUUAGUCCAUCAAAAACUAGAUGCUGCAUAGCGUGUACCACAUCUGGCAAUUGAUAGCACCAUGUUUGUUAAGGUUAUCUGAUUGGAAGAGCUGCAAGCAAUGAAUAACGCAGCAAAGCUGCAUGUGAUAACAUCCCCACAGUGAAACUGCAUCUGCUGACAGCUUCAUGCUUGCCAUUUUAAUAUUCUGGACGUUGUAAGUGGAAAGUGCAAAGAAAUGCUCCCAAUUUCCUGAAUGCACUUGCCAGACAAAGAUACCCCACAAUGCAUUUGAUACAUUCUUUUUUAUCCUGCUACUUUUUCAAGUCAUUUUUUGCAUUCUAAAAUGGUAGGAUUUUUUUUUUUUCUGAUGCCUGAAUGUAUUUGAGGUAUGGGUUUGUUUUGCAGUAGAACUACUGCAACUUUUCUGUUGAUGCCCAGAGAGGAACAAUUCAAAAUCUGUGCCUUUUUUUUUUUUUUUUAUAGGUCUAAAAUAGUUAUUUUUCUAUAUACUUUAUAAACUAAUCAUUUCAAGACUUCGCUGAACACACAAAAAAACAGUAACCCUGCUUUUUUAAUAUUCUCAAAAUAUAAAAGACACUUUCCGAGAACAGAAGAGCUCUCCAUCCUCCAGCAUAAGAAAUCAAGUAGAAGAGGCAGGAAACUGGCAUGGCUGAGCAAGAACCUGCUAGUCAAACUGAGGGAUAUGAAGGACCAGAGGAGAGCCAUCAUGAUGAUCAGAAGGCUAAAGCACC